UACGUAGGGUGCAAGCGUUGUCCGGAAUUAUUGGGCGUAAAGAGCUCGUAGGCGGUCUGUCGCGUCGGAUGUGAAAAUCCAGGGCUCAACCCUGGACCUGCAUUCGAUACGGGCAGACUAGAGUUCGGCAGGGGAGACUGGAAUUCCUGGUGUAGCGGUGAAAUGCGCAGAUAUCAGGAGGAACACCGGUGGCGAAGGCAGCUCGCUGGGACGGUACUGACGCUGAGGCGCGAAAGCGUGGGGAGCAAACAGG
rnacentral:rRNA from 1 species